GCCGGGUUGACUGGUGUCUACAUGUAACAGAUGCUUUCCUGGGUAGUCAGUGGGUCAUUGCGGGUCGCAGCAUGUCCCCAUGAUGUGGAUGGCGUGUCCGCUUUAGGCCAAGAGUGAUCAUUGACGCGUUGCCGUAGGGCAGUAUGUUGAGAUCACUAAGGAAGGGUGCACCGCCCAGGCUGGUCAGCAGAGCAGGGAAAAGACCUCGCACUUGGUAAUGGAAGGAUUUAGUGCCAGACUAGCGGCAGCGACUCAAAGAGUUUGUGAAAAAGACAAU
rnacentral:SRP_RNA from 1 species